CCUCUCAUCCUUGGGGUCAUCCAACUGAUUCUGCAGAUGCUGAUCGUCCAUCAUUUCAACCAUCCUACAGGUUGAAACGUCCUAUGGAUCCUCGCCACGGUAUGCUUCUUCACCAGGCUGGUGGUCAGACUCCAUGUUUUCCAUCUCAAUGCCGUCAUCGACUUCAAUGCCAUCCUCCCCGUCAGAAUUCAACCGUGAAUAACCAGGCACAAAUCCCCGCAUGAGCAAGUGCAUCUCGACAUCCUCUGGCUCGUACAGCUUGCUGUUCCGACAUCUCACAUAGGGACAACACAUCUUAUCACCCCCUUUUCUAUGCAUAUCUUCCACGCCGGCAUCGACAAAAGUCUUCAGCCGCUCUAUCCACUCAAGAAAUAACCUGUCCUCGUACAUCCAAGCACGGCCCAUCGAGCUACAACACAAUUAAAAAAAAUAAACGAAUCAGUU
rnacentral:lncRNA from 1 species